UACAGGGGGGGCAAGCGUUGUUCAGAAUUACUGGGCGUAAAGGGUCUGUAGGUGGCUUGCUAAGUCAGACGUGAAAUCCCUCAGCUUAACUGGGGAACUGCGUCUGAUACUGGCAAGCUUGAGUGCAGGAGAGGAACGCGGAAUUCCAGGUGUAGCGGUGAAAUGCGUAGAUAUCUGGAGGAACACCGGUGGCGAAGGCGGCGUUCUGGACUGCAACUGACACUGAGAGACGAAAGCCAGGGGAGCAAACGGG
rnacentral:rRNA from 1 species